GACGAACGCUGGCGGCGUGCUUAACACAUGCAAGUCGAACGGAAAGGCCCUGCUUUUGUGGGGUGCUCGAGUGGCGAACGGGUGAGUAACACGUGAGUAACCUGCCCUUGACUUUGGGAUAACUUCAGGAAACUGGGGCUAAUACCGGAUAGGAGCUCCUGCUGCAUGGUGGGGGUUGGAAAGUUUCGGCGGUUGGGGAUGGACUCGCGGCUUAUCAGCUUGUUGGUGGGGUAGUGGCUUACCAAGGCUUUGACGGGUAGCCGGCCUGAGAGGGUGACCGGCGACAUUGGGACUGAGAUACGGCCCAGACGCCUACGGUAGGCAGCAGUGGGGAAUAUUGCACAAUGGGCGGAAGCCUGAGGCAGCAACGCCGGGUGCGGGAUGACGGCCUUCGGGUUGUAAACCGCUGUCGCCUGUGACGAAGCGUGAGUGACGGUAAUGGGUAAAGAAGCACCGGCUAACUACGUG
rnacentral:rRNA from 1 species